CAGAGGAAAUCUUCGGCAAGCUGCUAUAGAUAGAUUUAGUAAACCUGAUUCAGAUAGAUUUGUUUUUCUCCUGUGUACCCGAGCUGGUGGGUUGGGCAUCAACUUAACUGCAGCUGAUACAUGUAUAAUUUUUGAUUCUGAUUGGAAUCCUCAGAAUGAUCUUCAGGCCCAAGCUCGUUGCCACAGAAUUGGUCAGAACAAAGCAGUUAAAGUCUACAGACUGGUAACUCGUAACUCAUAUGAGAGAGAGAUGUUUGACCGAGCCAGUUUGAAACUGGGCCUAGAUAAAGCUGUGUUACAGAGCAUGAGUGGAAGAGAAAGUAAUGUUGGUGGUGUAUGUAUAGUUUCUUUUUCACUUGAGAUUUUUGUGUGUUUUUGCAUUUGAUUUUACCUCCAAUAG
rnacentral:lncRNA from 1 species